GCAUGAUUUUAUUUUCUCUCAAGUAGCCAGGCUUUCUCCUGAUUUGAAAAACUGUUAACUCCCCCUAAGAGGGAACAGUCUCAUAGCCAGGAAUAGCAUGGGUGGGGCAUUGCACAGAAAGACAGAUGGUUGCUCUCUAGGCUGCAACUUGCACCAGGCACAAUGCUGUGGCUCAGGGCCUGAGGAAUUAAAAAAGUAAGAAGAGGAAGAGGAAGAGGAAGAGGAAGAAGAGGAAGAGGAAGAGGAAGAAAAAGAAAGAAAGAAAGAAAGAAAGAAAGAAAGAAAGAAAGAAAGAAAGAAAGAAAGAAAGAAAGAAAAGAAAAGAAAAGAAAAGAAAAGAAAAGAAAAGAAAAGAAAAGAAAGGAAGGAAAGAAAGAAAAGAAAGAAAGAAAGAGGAAAAAGACCUAAAGCAGGAUCAAGCCCAAUGUGCGGAUGGAAAAUAUCCUAAAUGGGACAUGCUUGGUCAGCACAGCAUGCUUGUGAUGAUGCAGAAGCAGAAUCAAUAAUCCCCAGUAAGGGAUGGCAGUUCUUUAUGAUGGAAAACUUCUUCCAGGUCCUGGACUAUCCAAAUACAGCCCCUCCAUUCCAGAAAUUCACAAUACUUUUCUAAUCACUGGAGCUGCCUUUUCUUUCAAAGCAAGAUCCAUCUGACACUCGGUGCCCUGCCUUGUAGCUCCGGGAACACUGACCUAAUCACGUGAUUUCAUAAAUUUCCAUGUGGAUCUUCACUACAAAUAUUUCUUUAUUCAAACAU
rnacentral:lncRNA from 1 species